UACGUAGGGUGCGAGCGUUGUUCGGAAUUACUGGGCGUAAAGGGCUCGUAGGCGGCCAACUAAGUCAGACGUGAAAUCCCUCGGCUUACCGGGAACUGCGUCUGAUACUGGAUGGCUUGAAUCCGGGAGAGGGAUGCGGAAUUCCAGGUGUAGCGGUGAAAUGCGUAGAUAUCUGGAGGAACACCGGUGGCGAAGGCGGCAUCCUGGACCAUUAUUGACGCUGAGGAGCGAAAGCCAGGGGAGCAAAGCGGAUUAGAUG
rnacentral:rRNA from 1 species